AUCUUCUCUGCAGUUAUACUUAAUUUGCUUCAAACAGCGCCUGCGUCGCAGUAAAACCGGGAAUCUUCUGAAAGCCUUCCAAACGUCUCCUGGCUUUUUCUCAUACUGUUUUUGUUGUCUUUGCUGUCGGUAUGAAACUGACAUCAUUUCAGGUGGGGAAUCAGCCCUCUACUAAAGUAUAAAUUCAGCCUCAGUGUCUGGAAUUGCUUUGACGAAACUGAUGUUGGUUAAAGAUACCACAAGCUGGAUGGACUCGACCAAAACGGCCUUCAGACGCAAAACAGUCUAAUUAUGAUGCAUAAUUGACAUUGACCAGUUAUUGACUUUUUUUUUCUUUUUAAAAAUGCACCUUCAGGGACAUGUAUGAUAGCAUCAGCACUUGGAGACCGAUGCUAUCAACCAAGGAGACGGGAGAUAACAGGAAGGCAUUCCACCUGCUGGGGCUACUUUUCAGUGAAUGUAUGGGGCACUGAGGAAUGGGCCAAGGGGAAGAUUGGAAUAUUGCACCUGUGCCAAGGGGGCAACAAACAUCUUGUCUCUUUAUGAUGGGUUCUGUGUGUAAACCCAAUGCCAUACUGACACCUCCAUAACAGUCUCCCAAAAUGGGAGUGGGUUUCAAAAGAGUAAGGAUGCCAUGAGAUUAAGACCUUGCUUUCUAAGGAUCCUUCUGAUCGAAGCGGAGAGUCUUGACACACGUCAGCCACAUUUGGCAUGUAGUACUGACCUCUGUCUCUGAGGGGCCACGAAUCUGUCCAUACCCUGCACCAGAUGGAGCAAUCCCCAGGCCAACGGCAGGUCUCUUACCCAAGGCACUUUGUGAUUUCCCAGGCUCGUGGUAGGUGUGGCUCUGCUCUGGUGUGCCAGGGAGCCGAGCGAGGCACUUGCACACUGCUGCACCACGGGCCUGACGUAUGCCAACAAUUGUCCAGCCCGGGAUUAGUUUUUGUAUCCGGUUACGGACUUUAUUGCCAUGGAGUCGGGUUCGGCACUCCGUGGCAGGCCAGGGAUGUUGCUGAAAUGCAGUGAUUUAUGUGUUGCUGAGUGAGAGCAGCAGGUUCAAGCCAGAGGUCUCAGCACUGGAGGGUGGGGGGUGGCAGAGUUAAAACAGUCAGUGCUCCUUUUAAAGGCUUCCUUUCUACAAAUACUAGGCCUGUGGAGUGAAAAUAGUGAAACUGUAAACAAGCUGAGAACAUUGUUUAUGUUUGAAGUAACACUGAUGGCAGAACUCACAGGGGACAAGGAAAACUUCCUGAAAAUAACUAUAGCAGUCCAAAGAAAUUUACCGUCAACCCAUACAAUGUAUGCUUCUUGUAUCUCAUAAAUAUGACUUUUUUUGUACUGGAUAAAUAGUUACAGCCGAUGAAUGGCUGAUACAUUUUUCUUAACACAAGGAUGAAGAUCUAUUAAAAUUUUUCAGGACAGUAUUUUAAAUGAUCAAGUGCCUAGUGAAUGCAAUAACUAUAGCAACCCUGCAACUUCUCACUCAGGAUCACUUUCCAGGGCCAGCAGAGUCUGUGCUGCUUCAAGCUAAUGACACCUGGCUGAUCACGGUCUGUCGCCAAUGGCAACAAACUGGGCAGAUGAUUUCAGCAACGAUGAUAUAACAGAAAAUGACCUCAUUGCUGCAGCUUCUCUGAAGACUCUGAAAGCUUUGAGGAUGAAGGGCUGUCAAAACCUGUCAGAUUUCUGAAACAGAGAAAAACCUGUGCGAAGUGCAAACGGGGGAGUUUUAUUUUUCUCCGUCCAGUUUGAUAUGACACUGUAGCUCACUUGGAAAGUUUCCUUGGAAGGCUUUAAAAAUGCCUUCGUAGAGAUGAAUGAUAAUUACUUGCAUGGGUUUGAGUGGAAGAUGUAAGAGACCUUUUCAAACCACAUGUUUUAACGUGCGUAAUAAUGAAGGUGGAGUGUAACUUUAACCUUUGACCCCAGCUUUCAAAGGCUGCAUUCGAUACCCGGUUCCUGCAUUGUUCCUGCUCUGGGUCCAUAGAUUCAUAGUCACAAUCACUUUCAGUUUCCUAACCUUAACCCUCUCUGUCUGUGAAAGUUCAGUGAUGGUCAAACAAAGUUUUCAUAAUAAUGUAACCCCACCCCAUCAAAAUUUCUAUGUAAGCUAAAAUGUCGUAAAAAAAUAAAAAAUAGCCUAUCACAGCUGAACUGAUUUCAUAUGGCACUGAACCUUCUGCAACUGCAACUUCUACCCUUCGUAUUCAAAGCACAGCAGCCCUGCCAAUUCCGUGGUUUAAUAACUACCAUAUAUUUUUCAUGCAUAUCUUGUAAUAUCUUUGAUUACCUGUAAUAUCAACAAUACACUAAAAUGGUGUAAAAGCAACUUCUGUGAACUGAAAUUAGAAGUGAAACAGCCUCCUUUAAUAUGAAAUAUGACGUUCCUGAUAAUUACAAAAAACUGGUCAAUAUGUCAUUUGCCAAAAUGAGGUGCUGCCCGUAAAACAAAACUAAAAGAUUGAAGAGGUGAAGUGUGCACCAGUUCAGGUCCGAUCUAUAACGUGACAGUGAUGCGCCUCCCAGAUACUGCUCGAGCUGCACGUUGACGGAGGUAACCGAUGGUAAUCAGGUUAAGGGAUUAGCCAGCUUGAAGGCAUCGCCUUCGAUACAGGACUUUGGAAAUACAUAAUGACAGAUGUAGACUGAUGACACCUUGAAGCGGUUGAGCAAUACAAGCUGGCAAUUUCAGCUAAUGCUAAAAUGCACUCAGUAUUUAAUUCCACAGGUGUGCUCUGCCUCAGUCCCUCUGCUUCUUGGGAUUGACUCCCGGUUCACUGUAACCCCCCCACUGGAUAAGCCAUUAUGAAAGAUAUUUGGAUAGAUGUUUUCCCAAUGUUAUCAUCUUAAGUAAUAGGUGUAUUCUUGAUUAUGUGUUUAGAGCCUGUGAUGCAGUGCAUUUCAGUGUACUGUAAUGGGAACCAAACUUUAACUCUCUCAAGGUUCACUAAGGGUGGAACUAGCAUUUUGUUACUGUGAACAGUACACACCUGACUGCCUCAUUGGGCCCUGUAUUACUGCAGGGUAUCACAGUUGCAAGGGUGCUGCCUACCAUAGACGCCGCUCUGGAAUUCUGAGUUGUGCUCAUAGCCACAACAUAAGUGAUGCUGUCAACCAUGUAACAUGCCCUGGUGGAUAUUCCCUCAAACCCAGUGUGUCACCUAUAAAUCCCCAACUGAGUUCUGCUGAGUUCUCUCCCUGCAGCUUUUUGUAGCUGUCAUACUUGUUACUGGGAUUUUACAAACUAUUACUGCUUCUAAACUGUCCUCAAGAUUGUAGAUUGUAAAAAAAAAAAAAAACAAUGGUUGAUAUUGUCUGCUGAAAUAUGUGUCAGAAAUUACCAGGUAUGUUCUGGUAUAUGUGGGUGACGGACAUCAAAAUGGGGUAGAUAGGCUUUUGCACAGUGUUGGUUAUCAUUUCAGAUGCAGAUAUUGGCCUGAGGAUUGUUUAUGCUUUAAAUGAGAGAAGCAGCAGUAGAGCAUGUCUGCAGAGAGGUGGGGUCUCGUUGCUUGAGGGGGGUCAUUUGCAUGAGAGGUUUGUCACAGGCCUACGUUUGCGUGACAGGAACAGCUGUCAAUGACCUGACUUCAUUUUCUUGGAUGACAUGGCCUCAUGUGGGUCACGCAGAUACAAGAUGCAUUUCCAUUCAUCCAUCACCUCAGUGACCACCGACCCUUUGACCUUUGGAUGUUGACCUUCAACCUCUGAUGUUGACCCCUUCGUGGGACCUCUUAUUUUGCGCUCAGGCAUCUCCAUUGACUACCUGCCAGGCACCUGCUCUGAGAAAUGAAACGACAGGAAUGUUACUCCUGGGAGUCCAUUGGCCACUUAGAC